AGGAAUAUUGGUCAAUGGACGCGAGUCUGAACCAGCCAAGUAGCGUGAAGGAUGACUGCCCUAUGGGUUGUAAACUUCUUUUAUAUGGGAAUAAAACAGGGUAUGCAUACCCUCUUGUAUGUACCAUAUGAAUAAGGAUCGGCUAACUCCGUGCCAGCAGCCGCGGUAAUACCGAGGAUCCGAGCGUUAUCCGGAUUUAUUGGGUUUAAAGGGAGCGUAGGUGGGUUGUUAAGUCAGUUGUGAAAGUUUGCGGCUCAACCGUAAAAUUGCAGUUGAUACUGGCAUCCUUGAGUACAGUAGAGGUAGGCGGAAUUCGUGGUGUAGCGGUGAAAUGCUUAGAUAUCACGAAGAACUCCGAUUGCGAAGGCAGCCUGCUGGACUGUAACUGACGCUGAUGCUCGAAAGUGUGGGUAUCAAACAGG
rnacentral:rRNA from 1 species